UUAAUUAUACGUAAUAGUUACUAAAUUUUAAUUAUUCAAUAUAUAUUUAUUAUUUCAUAAUAUGUAAAAAAUAUAUAAUAAUUAAAAAUAAUUUAUAUAUAAUAUUCAUCCCGUGCAAGGCGCGGGUCUUAACCUAGUAGAAACACUAAAAAACAAUCAUAAAUCUUUUGAGAAAGAAAAGCAAACAAAACUUCUCUUCUAACACUUCAUUUUUCUUCAUCAUUCCACAUAGAAACAAGGCAGAGAGUCUUUUGAUUUGGACCAUAUCUUUGGUGCUAUCAAAGAUGGUUACAACUUGAGGUUACAGGGAGAAAACUCGUUUUUCUCAAAUUUUAGCGGUAAAACUUGUUUCUGCAGUUUUCACAGAAAUUAAUUUUAAUUUACAGUUUUAACAUAAAAUUUUGAUUUUAUAGUUUUGGUGGGAAAAUUAAUUUUGUAAAAUCAAACAAACUAUAAGUCUUAGUAUCUAUCUAUCUAUCUAUAAUAAUAAAGCAGGGUUUUCUCUCACCUUAGCCCUCCACGUCACUAUGGAGAUAGGAGCAUUCUGCGCCACGUGUCGACACAUUAAGGUACUCUCGAUUUUUGCUUUCUGCCGGGUUUCUACAUCCUUAUUUUAACUGGGCUUUUAUUAAUUUAAGCCCAAAAUUUUGUAGACCCCUUACAAACCCACAGGGGAUUAGGGUUCCUUCCUCUGUCUUUCUCUUGAGCGGCGGCCUUCACAAUGAGAGCACACGGAAGGUUAGAGUGAUGAUCCGAUCUACAGUUCGACUCAAACGAUAUUUAGAAGCUUCAGCCGGGUUCGUAUGUUUUAAGUAUGUUCUACGAUUAUAUUUGGAAUCGACUGAUCUGUUCAUUACUCUUUCUUUUUGCCAUUGGAAUCAAUCGAGAGGGCUUGAGAUGCCGGCUUAACAUGUAACGCGUGUAACAUGUUGUUCGAGAACGAAAGCUUCAUUACAGCUCCGAUUGGCACAGUUACAAUCUCAAGUGCAAGGAAGCUGGAGCUCCUGGGGUUACAGAAGAGUGAUAAUGAGUAGGUGGAGGCAGAUUCAGAUGAGGAACUGGCUGAUGCGGAAGAAGAAGAGGCCUCAGAUUCUUUGUCUAAGUGAAUGUGCUCGGGAGCUGGUGGAGAAGAUGAUGCAGACAUGCACAAGCACCAUGGUUUCUUUGUUCCGAAUGUUGAGUAUCUAAAAGAUCCAGAAGGCUUCUCACUUACCUCGGUCUUAAGGUUCAGACUCGUCAGUUAAGCAUUGUUGUAAAGCUUUGAAUUUUCUUAACUUUUAUUUACUCUUAUACCAUGGAUUAUGAUUCAUGUCAAGAGAGACUUCAUGUGUCUCUAUUGCAGCGAGCUGUGCCAUGCAUUCAGCAGCUUAGAAGCUGUAAGAAAGAGUCAUUGCGAAUUGCAUUAUGGUGAUAAAAAAAGAAGCUAGAAAUAGAAUUCAACUUAGGUGAUUGUGAGGAAGAUGCUUUGUAUCCUGUUUCGUUUUAUUAAAAAAAAUAAAAAACUGUUUAUUUGCUCUAACAAAAAAACAGUACAUCUUCCCCUGCUUUAACCCAGUAUCACGACAUAAAUGUUACAUGAAUUUUCCUAUUACAACACGUCCUUUUAUUACAAUAACUUGCACUCCAAGCUCCAACAAAUCCAACCAAAACAAGUACUCAACUCUCUACGCCGCUUACGCUUGGAAAACAUUUAAUAAUUGAAUUGUAAAUUUUGUAGCCAUUGUCGCCUUCACAAAAUAAAUUCAGUCAAACUUAUACACAAAACAAUAAACCAAUAAACCAUCAACUUUCCGUUUAGGAUAAACCAAUAAACUUCAAAAAAGAAAAAAAAAACAAAUUUCCUAUACAUACGAACCUCAAAAAAGAAAAAAAGAAAUCUCUUAUACAUACAAACCGUAAACCAAAAAAAUGCAUCGCCCACAUUACCAAAAACUUUUAACAUUUUCACUCAGCAGGAAUCAAAAAUGCAUUCACAUGCCUUCGAAAGCUAAGGAUUCCAUGUCUGAGAUCUCCUAACAUGCACUCACAAAAUCCAUUAUUAGGUCUAGGCUCUCAAUUCCUAAUUGUCAAGAACUAAUAAUUCUAUCUCGAUUGGUCUAACAACUAACAAAUGAAAAAUAAAACUAAAUGAAUUCAAAAAAGAAAA